rnacentral:rRNA from 1 species
CUUUCACCGAAUGCUUGCAUUCACCGAAAGAAGCUUAGUGGCGAACGGGUGAGUAACACGUAGGCAACCUGCCCAAAAGAGGGGGAUAACACUUGGAAACAGGUGCUAAUACCGCAUAACCAUGAACACCGCAUGAUGUUCAUGUAAAAGACGGCUUUUGCUGUCACUUUUGGAUGGGCCUGCGGCGUAUUAACUUGUUGGUGGGGUAACGGCCUACCAAGGUGAUGAUACGUAGCCGAACUGAGAGGUUGAUCGGCCACAUUGGGACUGAGACACGGCCCAAACUCCUACGGGAGGCAGCAGUAGGGAAUCUUCCACAAUGGACGAAAGUCUGAUGGAGCAACGCCGCGUGAAUGAAGAAGGCCUUCGGGUCGUAAAAUUCUGUUGUCAGAGAAGAACGUGCGUGAGAGUAACUGUUCACGUAUUGACGGUAUCUGACCAGAAAGCCACGGCUAACUACGUGCCAGCAGCCGCGGUAAUACGUAGGUGGCGAGCGUUGUCCGGAUUUAUUGGGCGUAAAGGGAACGCAGCGGUCUUUUAAGUCUGAUGUGAAAGCCUUCGGCUUAACCGAAGUAGUGCAUUGGAAAACUGGAAGACUUGAGUGCAGAAGAGGAGAGUGGAAACUCCAUGUGUAGCGGUGAAAUGCGUAGAUAUAUGGGAA